GUAGGUGGCAAGCGUUGUCCGGAAUUAUUGGGCGUAAAGCGCGCGCAGGUGGGUUCUUUAAGUCUGAUGUGAAAGCCCCCGGGCUCAACCGGGGAGGGUCAUUGGAAACUGGGGAACUUGAGUGCAGGAGAGGAAAGUGGAAUUCCACGUGUAGCGGUGAAAUGCGUAGAUAUGUGGAGGAACACCAGUGGCGAAGGCGACUUUCUGGCCUGUAACUAACACUGAGGCGCGAAAGCGUGGGGAGCAAACAGGAUUAGAUACCCUGGUAGUCCACGCCGUAAACGAUGAGUGCUAAGUGUUGGGGGGUUUCCGCCCCUCAGUGCUGCAGCUAACGCAUUAAGCACUCCGCCUGGGGAGUACGGUCGCAAAGACUG
rnacentral:rRNA from 1 species